CCUACGGGGGGCUGCAGUGGGGAAUAUUGGGCAAUGGGCGCAAGCCUGACCCAGCAACGCCGCGUGAAGGAAGAAGGCUUUCGGGUUGUAAACUUCUUUUGUCAGGGAAGAGUGGAAGACGGUACCUGACGUAUAAGCCACGGCUAACUACGUGCCAGCAGCCGCGGUAAUACGGAGGUGGCAAGCGUUGUCCGGAUUUACUGGGGGUAAAGGGCGUGUAGCCGGGUUGACAAGUCAGAUGUGAAAUCGUGCGGGAUAAACGAAGAACUGCAUUUGAAACUGUUGAUCUUGAGUACUGGAGAGGCAGACGGAAUUCCUAGUGUAGCGGUGAAAUGCGUAGAUAUUAGGAGGAACACCAGUGGCGAAGGCGGCUUACUGGACUGUAACUGACGUUGAGGCUCGAAAGCGUGGGGAGCAAACAGGAUUAGAUACCCCAGUAGUC
rnacentral:rRNA from 1 species